CUACGGGAGGCAGCAGUAGGGAAUAUUGGACAAUGGGCGAAAGCCUGAUCCAGCCAUGCCGCGUGAGUGAUGACGGCCCUAGGGUUGUAAAGCUCUUUCGGCGGGGAAGAUAAUGACGGUACCCGCAGAAGAAGCCCCGGCUAACUUCGUGCCAGCAGCCGCGGUAAUACGAAGGGGGCUAGCGUUGUUCGGAAUCACUGGGCGUAAAGCGCACGUAGGCGGAUCGUUAAGUCGAGGGUGAAAUCCCGGGGCUCAACCUCGGAACUGCCUUCGAUACUGGCGAUCUUGAGACCGAGAGAGGUGAGUGGAACUCCGAGUGUAGAGGUGAAAUUCGUAGAUAUUCGGAAGAACACCAGUGGCGAAGGCGGCUCACUGGCUCGGUACUGACGCUGAGGUGCGAAAGCGUGGGGAGCAAACAGGAUUAGAAACCCUGGUAGUCC
rnacentral:rRNA from 1 species